GUGAAUCAUCGAAUUUUUGAACGCAAAUUGCACUUCCCUCGGAGAGUAUGCGCGUUCGAGGGUCAGCCUAAAAAAAAUUGUCGCACCCGCUGUUUGGUGGCGACAUCCGUGGGCAAUUGGGUUAUGUUACAUUUCUGGGGCUUUUAACUGGCAUAAAAUUUUUUUUACGAAUUCACGUACGUUUUUAAGAUUUUACUUCCUACACAUGUUUAAGCCAUUGAUCUUUAUUAGAUGUGUCCGUUGCAUCGUACGGCGUCC
rnacentral:misc_RNA from 1 species